UUUAGGGUUAUAAAAUAUUAAAAUACCAUCACUUCCGGCCAAAAUUCAUGCGCCCAAAAUCCCAUUUCUUUCGCCAAAAAACCAGAAAAUUUUCCCUCUCUUCCGCCCAAAAUCUCUCUUUCUCGCUCUUCCAGUGAUCAAAAUUCCAUCAUCAAUUGAUCUUUUAUUAAAUGCACGCUUGAUUGAUCCAAUCACGUGAUCGAAAUAAUAGCCAGAUGAGGAAACCUUACAGUAGUCGUGAACUUGAUCUUGAGUAUCGACAUCCACGGCGUCGUUUUCUUGUCCUUCAUCGACGUUUUAGAGUUCGUUGAUCUUGUCCUCGAUGGAGGAACUGAAGCCCUCAGAAUCGGAGGCACUGUCAUUUAGCAGAGGCUUGGGGCGGUCAAGGAGGUGUUCAGUUGAGAGAGACACGUGUGGAGGGGAGAGACUGAGAGGAGGAGGAGCGCGACGAUAACGGCGCAUACGUGUGACGGGGCUGGCGACAAGAUCUGAGGCUUUGUAGCAUUUCUGCCCUUAAUGAUACCGGAAGAUGGCGACAGUGACGAACAUGAUUGAUGGUGUUAUUUUGCUAAUGAGCUGAGAUUUGGAGCUCGUCGUUUAUCUUGUGUACUGGCAGUUUGUGCCUGCUGCUUCGUGAAGCCUAAACAAGAAAUAGUUGCUAAAUCUGCUGCUCAAACAGUUCAUGAACAGCAUGGAAAUUGAGUAUUUUUCCUUUUUGUUUAAUGUAACCCAAAUGUUGUGUAUUUUGUUGGGUUUUGGCAUAGGUAAUUAAAUGUUGAUGUUUUAUUUGCUAAAUCUCAGUAUGGCUUCUGUCGCCCGAAUGGCUAUGACUAGAAGAGUUCAUCCUCUUGUUCCUUGAAUCCCUACCUAGGCAAUUGGACAAUAAAAGUUCGUGUUACAAGCAAAGGGAACAUGCGUACUUACAAGAAUGCAAGAGGAGAAGGGUGUGUCUUCAAUGUGGAGUUAACAGAUCAAGAUGGCACACAAAUACAAGCAACAAUGUUCAAUGAAGCUGCUAGGAAAUUCUAUGACAGGUUCCAAUUAGGAAAGGUGUAUUACAGGGAACACUUAGGGUUGCUAACAAGCAAUUCAAGGCUGUGCAAAAUGAUUAUGAAAUGAACUUGAACAAAAUGGUUUUGGCUGCACUUUUGGGGUUGUCUGCGUUCUUUGGCCUUGGCAGGUGCGGGAAUUGGCAGAAAAAGAGCCUGAUAAUGGUGUCUUUAAAAUGCUUCGCUGUGAUGUUACUCGGUUUUUUACGACUAUUCUCAUUGGCACAACUGUGGCAAAUAUUGGAGCCACUGCAUUGGUCACUGAGGUAGCAACAGCUUUAUUUGGUGAGGCUAGUGUCAGUGCAGCAAUAGGAGUAAUGACUGGACCAUUCAACUGGGAAGCGUUGAAUGUGGGUUUUAUAUAAUGAGAUACAUGAGAGAGAUAUACUUGAGAAUGGGUUGGCAUUACUGAAAAACAAUUUCCUAGGGAAAGAAAUAUACGAAGAUGCAAAGGUUGAUGAAGUCAGAGGAGAAAGGGCGAUAGCAGCAAUAAUAUAUUAGGAGUGAGCGAUUCCGGGUACCUUGCAUUUCUCGAGAGAAUCGGAACCGGAACCGUAUAGUGCAGGUUCCCAAAAAAAGGGACUGGAACCACACAGUGCAGGUUCUCAAAAAAAGGGACCGGAACCACAUAGUGCAG